GGGGGGUUGGCGCAAUGGUAGCGCGUGUCUCUCCUAUCAGUCAGACACAAAAGACAAGGUUGAGGUACGCAGCAUACCUUUUGAAAUUUCGAUUACAUCCAUAUUCAUAUGUCCUAGGGUUCGAGUCCCUUGCUCCUCG
rnacentral:tRNA from 1 species